GAGAGAGAGAAGAGGGAGAGAGAGAGAGAGAGAGAGAGAGAGAGAGAGAGAGAGAGAGGUGUCGGGAUGCAGAACAGGACCCAGAAACUGGAGAUGAUAACCAACUUGGCAAGGCUAUCUUAAGGAACGUGGACCCUCUAGGAUCUGGUGGUGGCUAGUGCUGAGAUGUUCCAUGUACCCUUGGUACCGCGACGGUGGGGUGAAGGCAGAGGAGGAGCCCACAUAAACACAAAGUUCACCGCAGGGAGCGAUGAAAAGAAGCAGCCCAUGCAGGGGCCACAGACGCAGCCCGUGGGGCGCGGGGUCACAUUAGCCAGAGUCCCCAGAACCUCCAGGGAAGAAAGGCAGGAAGAGGCGGAGUCCCGAAGAGGAGAAAUGAAAAGGGGAUUCUGGGAACUGGCAGCGGGGUGGCGGUUCUGCCCUACUGUCCACGACACCCACUCACGUUCCUGUGGUCCCCGUAGUACAGUACCUGAACGGCCGGGCCUCUAGGAUCCCCCUCUGGGAUGUCCUGGGGCGACCGCCGAGCUGCUCUGGGCACCAGGCGCAGCUGUGCACGGCUGGACACAAGCAAAACUAUGAGCGCCACAACUCACUGCCUGCUUCUUCUUGGCUUAAUCUUCAGCACCCUACCUCCAGACCAAACUAUUUUAGAGUGAAGAGAAACAAUCCUUCCCUACCUACUUCCGUACUGACAUCCUUUGUCUUCCAAAAUGGAAUGCGAGGGAGCUUUCAGCAGCGUAUGCAUGGUCUGAAUAUGAGCCUUGCCAAGGUGGAAACGCUAACGGAAGUCUGUAAGAGGAGGUGCGGCAAAGUCUAUUGUGAGCCUGGAAUCCCACUUUCAGAUCUCUGACGGAAGAGAAGGGGAGGGUAGUUCACAGUUUUUGUGAAGGGAUUUUUUUUCCCCAUAAAAACGCGUCCCCCACAAAGGCAAGAGAUCUCUUUGUGUAUCCAUCUGGCCUGGAACUUGCGAUCUCCUAUCACACCCACCAAAUGCUGGAAUGGUGAUUCAGAGCCACCCUGCUCAGUUUAAGAGAGCAUCGACAUCCACCAGGACUCACAGUUGCUGAGCCCCUCUUCCUGGGCUGAUGAUGGUGAAGAGGCCUCCGCCUCUUAGGUCACCCUGGCAGAAUUCCUACCAGUCCCAUAGAUUUGAAAGGCUCUUACCUGGGAUACUGGUUCUCUAUAGAAGACGUUCUGUAUUGAAAUCUUUGCAGCCACAGUUUCAAAGAAGUUGUAGAAAUAGCUCGGGCAAGUGGGGUAACGAUGAUACAGAACUGUGUCCUGUGUGCCCCCUUCUAUAUAAACAUGCACAUUAAAAAUAGACAUACUGAAGAACGUGUGGGGGACAGGAGAUUCUUAUAUAUGAGUACACUGUAGCUGUCUUCAGACACACCAGAAGAGGGCAUCGGAUCCCAUUACAGAUGGUUGUGAGCCACCAUGUGGUUGCUGGGAUUUGAACUCAGGACCUCUGGAAGAGCAGUCAGUGCUCUUAAACGCUGAGCCAUCUCUCUAGCCCCAGGACAGGAGAUUCUUAUGCUCAGCAACAUAAACCAAACAUAUGUGGAAUGUAGACUUAAAUAUACAUGCAAAUGUACAUAUAGGCAAUGAAAGUAGACAGAAAACCUGAAAGUACAGGACGAGGUCCAAGAGGGGAGGUAGAACCAGAGAGCGAAUCAGCCAUUCAAGUCAUGAGAGCAGAAUCCAGGGGCGCAGUACUUGGGAGGAAGAAGGGAACAGCAAGAGGGGAGGGGUGACCAGGGAGGAAUGAGAGCACAGAAAUAAGUAUAAUGGGGCACACGCACACACACACACACACACACACACACACACACAUCACAACACACGCACACACACACCACAACACAUGCACACACACAACAUACAUACAAACACAACACACAUACAACACACACACAACAUAUACACACACACAACACACACACACAUGCACACACACACACACACACAAUUGUUGAAAUUUCCAUUUAUGCCCUUGUGGAAGAAUUAUUGUCCUGAUCAUUAAAAGCAAAACCCCUCAAAACUCAAAAUGUUAAUAUGAUUAAUUGCAUUUGAGCAUUCAGUCUCACUUUUAAGUCAAACAGAUCAAUUACAUCCGGAAGCCUAGUAAACGCACCACACAAGUGCAGUCACGAGGUCUUUGACACAGUGACAGCUCUCUAGAAGGAAGACAGUCUUUACAACCAACGGCACUACUACAGUUUGAAUGAUGUAUCCCAGGGUGCAUGGGUUAAAGAUUUGGCUCUCAUGGUGGUUCUCUUGGAAAGCCAUGGGGCCUUUAAGAAGCAGAGCCUGCUGAGAGACCCUGGCCAUUAGUGUGCUCUUGAAGGGGAUUGUGGGAGUCUGACCUCUUCCUUUUUCCUCUCUCACUUCCUUGUGCUCCCUGCUUUGAUUCAUUGUUUUAAUAUGGACACUCAAGACAAUGGAGAUAGUUAAUCAUGGGUCCAAACUUUAAAAGCCGUGUAAGCCUAAAUAAACCUUUUCUCUUGUUAUACUGAUUACCUUGGGUAUUUGUUACAGUAGCAGAAAGCUGUUUGAUACAAACUCAAUAUGCAAAAGGGUGAAGCUAGAUACAGAGUUUUACACUUUUCUCAAAAACUAACUCAAAAGUAGACCCUAGCACUCAACAUAAAACACAAACCUUGAGGAGUUGUACUAGGUAACAUCAUUGAAAAUCCCAAUGACUUUGGGUUGGGUGAAGUCUUGUUAGAUGCACCAAAAACUAUGAUCUUUGUAAGAAAAAAAAUGGACUUUAAGGUUUAAAACAUCUGCUUAAAAUGUUUUAAGAUUUAUUUGCUUUAUUUUAUAAGUGUGAGUAUUUUUGCCUGCCUGCAUGCAUGUACGUGCACCACCUGUGUGGAAUAACAACAGAAAUCAGAAGAGAGCAUCAGAUCCCAUAGAACUGCAGUUAGGCAGGGUUAUGAGCCACCAUGUGGGUUCUAGGAACUUAAUCCAGGUCCUCUGCAAGAGCAAUGCGUGCUCUUAUCCAAGUGCUUGCUUUCUUUAACACACUUGGGUGAAUACUUGGGAGCAUAUUUGAAAGAUCACAUGGUAUGAUAUAGUCAGUUGUAAAGGAAACUACCAAGUUAUUUCCUAAAGUGGCUGUGUUAUUUUGUAUUCCCACCAGCAAAGAAUGAAAGUUCCUGCUGUCCUCCAUCCUUGCCAGCACUUGUUAUCUGUGUUAGCUUUUAGCCACUGUUAUGUGACAGUUUUCUCCUAGAAUGAAACUUUGUAUCCUUCAGGAAGUCCCUUAAGACAGAAAGCAAAUAAUUCAACACAGUUUCAGGAAGUCCCUGAAACUGACAAGAUUCACUAGGCUCCUCUACAGUAAACUGUUGAGACUGUUGAGAAUUGCUCUCAGGAAAGCCAAACUGCAAAGAAACUCCAAGUCCAGUGUGGCAGCUUGGAAAUAGCAGUAACCAGUCAAGCUGCUUGAAAGAGGCUCAGCUGAACCACCUAGGAAGGAUACCCUCCAACGUGCCUAUAGGCUGUGCGGUGUGCUCCAGGUUCCCAGCGUUUGUGAGUUCUCUUCAUUCAUACUGAGGUGGGCUUUGGUGUUGUGUUUGAGUCACUUCUGCUCCUAUAAGUAACCCCUUGCCCAUGUUCCUGUAAAUAAUCUCAAUAAAACUUAUUGGCUUACCAAA